GUUUGAUCCUGGCUCGAAUGAACGCUGGCGGCAGGCCUAACACAUGCAAGUCGAACGGAGUUAUAUUGUAGCUUGCUAUGGUAUAACUUAGUGGCAGACGGGUGAGUAAUGUAUAGGAAUCUACCUAGUAGUACGGAAUAAUUGUUGGAAACGGCAACUAAUACCGUAUACGCCCUACGGGGGAAAAAUUUAUUGCUAUUAGAUGAGCCUAUAUUAGAUUAGCUAGUUGGUGGAGUAAUAGCCUACCAAGGCAAUGAUCUAUAGCUGAUCUGAGAGGAUGAUCAGCCACACUGGAACUGAGAUACGGUCCAGACUCCUACGGGAGGCAGCAGUGGGGAAUAUUGGACAAUGGGCGAAAGCCUGAUCCAGCCAUGCCGCAUGAGUGAAGAAGGCCUUUGGGUUGUAAAGCUCUUUUAGUGAGGAAGAUAAUGACGGUACUCACAGAAGAAGUCCUGGCUAACUCCGUGCCAGCAGCCGCGGUAAUACGGAGAGGGCUAGCGUUAUUCGGAAUUAUUGGGCGUAAAGGGCGCGUAGGCGGAUUAGUAAGUUAAAAGUGAAAUCCCAAGGCUCAACCUUGGAAUUGCUUUUAAAACUGCUAAUCUAGAGAUUGAAAGAGGAUAGAGGAAUUCCUAGUGUAGAGGUGAAAUUCGUAAAUAUUAGGAGGAACACCAGUGGCGAAGGCGUCUAUCUGGUUCAAAUCUGACGCUGAGGCGCGAAGGCGUGGGGAGCAAACAGGAUUAGAUACCCUGGUAGUCCACGCUGUAAACGAUGAAUGUUAAAUAUGGGAAGUUUUACUUUCUGUAUUACAGCUAACGCGUUUAACAUUCCGCCUGGGGACUACGGUCGCAAGAUUAAACUCAAAGGAAUUGACGGGGACCCGCACAAG
rnacentral:rRNA from 1 species